rnacentral:rRNA from 1 species
AUUGAACGCUGGCGGCAUGCUUUACACAUGCAAGUCGAACGGCAGCGCGGGCUUCGGCCUGGCGGCGAGUGGCGAACGGGUGAGUAAUGCAUCGGAACGUGCCCAGCAGUGGGGGAUAGCCCGGCGAAAGCCGGAUUAAUACCGCAUACGACCUGAGGGUGAAAGCGGGGGAGCGAAAGGCCUCGCGCUAUGGGAGCGGCCGAUGUCGGAUUAGCUAGUUGGUGGGGUAAAGGCUUACCAAGGCGACGAUCCGUAGCUGGUCUGAGAGGACGACCAGCCACACUGGGACUGAGACACGGCCCAGACUCCUACGGGAGGCAGCAGUGGGGAAUUUUGGACAAUGGGGGCAACCCUGAUCCAGCCAUGCCGCGUGCGGGAAGAAGGCCUUCGGGUUGUAAACCGCUUUUGUUCGGGAAGAAAUCCUCUGGGCUAAUACCCCGGGGGGAUGACGGUACCGGAAGAAUAAGCACCGGCUAACUACGUG